AAUGAACGUUGGCGGCGUGGAUUAGGCAUGCAAGUCGUGCGGAAAGGCUCCUUCGGGAGUACUCGAGCGGCGAAAGGGAGAGUAACGCGUGGAUAUCUACCCCCUGGCCUGGGAUAGCGGCGGGAAACUGCCGGUAAUACCCGAUAAUAUCUGCGGAUUAAAGGGGUGAUUCCGCCGGGGGAUGAGUCCGCGUCCUAUUAGCUAGUUGGGGCGGUAACGGCCCACCAAGGCUGAGAUGGGUACCGGGUGUGAGAGCAUGGCCCGGCUCACUGGGACUGAGACACUGCCCAGACACCUACGGGUGGCUGCAGUCGAGAAUCUUCGGCAAUGGGCGCAAGCCUGACCGAGCGACGCCGCGUGCGGGAUGAAGGCCUUCGGGUUGUAAACCGCUGUCAGAGGGGAGGAAAUGCAUGGGGGUUCUCCCUCAUGUUUGACCUAUCCUCAGAGGAAGUACGGGCUAAGUUCGUGCCAGCAGCCGCGGUAA
rnacentral:rRNA from 1 species